GCCUCCGUCCCGCCCUCCCACUGCUUUUACUUUCUACGCAUUUCUAUUUCCUCUUUUAUUUAUUUAUUUGUGAUAAACUUAAAUGACCCGGCGAAGGAGGCGGUACUCUAGGAGAAGGCUGAGGAUGACGAAGCGGCGGCCUGGGGCCAAUUGUCGAGAGGCCUGCGGGUUUCAGUUUGAACCAUCAAACUGUGGCCUGCUUGUCUGACUCCCUUGAAUGUGCUGUCCAUUCGUCGGGGCCUGAGAGUGGCAGCAGCAGAGGCCAAGGAAGGUAUGGAGACGGUCUAAGAUAACUCUGAAAAAUCUCCAGACUGCUUUCCAAGCAACUCAUACCAGUUAAAAUGGCUAUGGUUAAAAAGUCAAAAAACAACACAUGCUGAUGAAACUGAAGAGAAAAUGAAACACUUAACGCUGUUGGUGGGAAUCCAGUUGAAUUCCUACAUAGACAAUUCCAGGAUGCUUAUGAGACAUGAAUUAGGACAUCAGCAACAGGUAUCAUCUACUGAACUGUUCAGACGCAAAUGAAUUGAAAAGGAGAUGAACAAGAGAGCACGAUAUAGAGAGAAAAUGUCAUCCCAUAUCACCAAAGGACAGAACAAGACUGCAGCUAUCUCCCUUUGGGGGUCAACCUUACUACUCAACCUGAGAUGCAAAGGAACAAUUCAGAAGCCAUAUGGGGACAAUUUUCAUAAGUGCUUGACCUCAACAAAAAAAGUAAAAUGGAUUUUAUCGUACUUAGAAAAUCAACAAUUGCAGUCUGGAUUCAAACAUCACUGUUUGACGCACCCAACUUGAGUCAAAAGAUGCUUCAAAUCCCACUAUGCUGGAGGUAAAUACACUCAAGAUUUUAAGAAUGUCUCUUGAUAGUGUAUAGAAUAAGAUAGCUUCUCAGCUUUCAGCUUUACUUCAUGGUUUUAACUAUCAAAAGAAGCAAGGUGAAUAGGUCUUGUAACCAAGUGAGUGUUGCUAGAGCCAAUCCAUGAAUUAGUUACACUCACUAAUUUUAAAUAAACCUAAUUUUUAAUACUUUAAAUGAUUUCUGUGAAAUGUUGGAUAUAAUGUCAAUUCUUAAAGGAAGACCGAUGUUUCAUGUUGCAUAAUGAUUCAGAGUAUAAGCUGUAAAUCCAGAUUGUGUGCAUGCAAAAUCAGUCUGCCAACUACCACCUUUGAAUCCUCGAGCAAGUAACUUAAUUGCUGUAGGACUCAGUAACCUUUUCUGUAAGAUGGGAAUAAUAGGAGUACCUGUAUUCUAGGCUUGUUGGAAAGGUCUUAGAACAGUUUCUAGCACAUAGAUAUGCUAAGGAAAUGAUUGUUAUUAAUACUUACUGUAUGCUUGAUCAUUAAGAUUACAAACAUACCUCAAGAUUAUGACUCACACAUCAGAAACAUGCACAGAGACCUGGAGACUGAAAGCAGUCUUUCAAAGUCUUCUAGCAACAGAAAUACCUUACAUGCACAGCUCAGGUAUUCAUUUUUUUGAAGUCUUUUAUUUCUUUAUAACUUCUCAUUUUUGUUCUUAUUUUUUUUUUCUCAAACCCAGUGGAAGUUUUUUGGACUUUUUAAUGCCUGUGGUUAUAGCUAUUACAAUGGGCUUCUGUAUUAGUUGCAUAUUGCUCUGUGACAAAUUACCCUAAAAUUUAGAUUCUUAAAAUAAUAACAGACUUACAUUAUCUCUGGCAACUUCUAGCUGAGUGAUUCGGGCUCAGGGUUUCUCAAAAGAGUGUAGUAAAGAUGUCAUUUGUUGUUGCAGCCAUCUGAAAAUUUGCCUGAGACCAAAGAAUCUAUUUCUGCGAUGACUCCCUCAAGUAACCAAGUGUGUGCUGGUGGUUGGUGGGAGGUGUCAGUUUCCCACCACGUGAACCACUUCAUAUGAUUGGAAUGCCACAAUAUCUUUAAUGACUUCACCUUGGAAGUCACAUUCUAUCAUUUUUGCAAUAUUUUAUUGAUUAUUCAGUGUGGAAGGAGACUACACAAAAACAUGAAUACCAGGAGGCUAGAAUCCUUGGGGCCAUCUUAGAUACUGACUAACCUAGCAUUUUUACCUAUUCAUAUAUUUCAUUUACUCAGUGCAUCUGUCAGUAUCAUUUAUAGUCAAUGCACUAGGCCAGGUGCUGCAGUGGGGCAUAAAGGUGUGUAAGUUGAAAGUCCUGCUCUUUAAAAUUUAAUACUUGGUGAAAGGGUUGAAACACCUACUCCCAUAACUGCAGUACAAGGUAAUAUAGGACAAAUAGCAAGGAUAUAGUGAUGUUGGUAAGCACCUCAGGUGUUCAGAGGAAGGGGAGCAAUUUCUUGUUGGGGUUUCAGAACAAAGGGAAUGUGAUCUGGGUCUCAGAAUAAAAUAGGAUCACUGUGGACAAAGACAAGUGAAAAUACAUCUCAUGUUGAGUGAACAAUGUGAAUAGGAUCAUGAAGGAUCAUGAAGUUGAGAAAGCAAGCUGAGUUCAGGGGCCAGCAACCAGAAUACUUUAGAAUAGCUUUCUAAUACUUUAGAAAGUGGAAAGAUAAAGAUAGGGAAAAGUAGGCAGAGACCAGUUUAUGCAAGUCCUUGGAAGCUAUGUUAAAAUUUUUGAGUCUACUCAGCAAAUACUGGGAGCAGAUAAAAUUUUUUGAGAUGGUAAGUAAUGGGACAAAAUGUUUACUCUUUUAGUUUACUCUCCAAGGGGAAUCAGAGAGUGAGAAAUCAGAGACAUAGAAACAGGGUAGGAAGAACUCACAAUAAGGAGAGAAGGUAAUAACCAUAAAUAUUAUAAGUAGAAUUAGAAAGGAAUAAUCUUGAAGGAGGAAUUUGAAGAAGUUUGUAAUUCAUUGUAUAGCACAUUUGAAGAAGCUGUCCCAAUAACUUGAGAUUUGCUACCUGUUUUGGAGGAGAAGUUGGUUUAAAGAGGAAAAUGGUUUAAAGAAUUUGUUUUAGGACAUAUCAGUUAAAAAGAACUUGAGGAUUCUUCGUAUGCUCUCUUUUUCUUUUCCUGCACUGAAGCUUAAUCUCUUUGGGUAGUUGCUUCCUGAGAUGAAUCCUGGGAACUUGGGGAGUUGGGGAAUCCUAGCGCUGAGGUGAGGAAAGAGGGCAGUGUGGGAAAGAACAGGGCUAGAAUCUCAGAAAAUUGAGUUAGUUGGCUCCAGAGUCUGUUGAGCUCUGGUAAUCAUGAUGGUGGACAAGGGAUGGGAUUGUGAGAAAAUGAUGAACUGAAAAAUAAUAUAGUGACUGAGGUCACAGAAUUUGAAAUCAUACAGGCAUGAUUAAAAAUCCAGGUCUCCAUUUCUAGCUGACCUUGGCAAAAUGCAUAAUUUGCAGAAAGCUCAUUUGCCUAACCUGUAAUAAAUAGUAUUCAUAAUAGGGUCUUGUGAGGUUUCAAUGAAAUGUUUGGCAUAUCAAGCUUUCAGCAUGGUGGCUGGCACAUAGAAAACACUCUGUAAUGAACAGUGGAUUUAUUGAAAUGGUGGGCUUUAUGCUAUUACAAAAAGAGAUUGAUACUGUCCCAGGAUCUUUUAUACCAGGUGAGUAGAAUUACUGAUCUCUUUUGGAAUCUGAUUAAUGCCUUACUGCAUACAGCUGGAGGGAGGUGAGUAUUCCAUCUUGAGUUAUUUUUGCAUAUGAUGUAAGGAAAGGGUCCAGUUUCAGUUUUUUUGCACAUGGCUAGCCAGUUUUCCCAACACCAU